rnacentral:rRNA from 1 species
GAUGAACGCUGGCAGCAUGCUUAACACAUGCAAGUCUUUGGCGAAGCUGUGCUUGCUCAGCCUAGCCAAGGCGGACGGGUGAGUAACGCGUCAGGAACUUGACCUGCCGUCAGGGAUAACAUACGGAAACGACUGAGAAGCUCAGGCCAAGUCAGGUGUACUCCUGUCCAGCCCGAUGGUAAGAGAUGCUGCUGGAGAGCCUUACGUCCUAUUAGCUUGUUGGUGGGGUAAUGGCCCACCAAGACGAUGAUCGGUAGCCGGCCUGAGAGGAUGGACGGCCCCGACGCGAAUGAGAGGCGGCCGUUACGACUACGGGGGGAAGCAGUGGGGAAUAAUGGACAAAGGGGGCAACACUGAUCAAGCAAUUCUGUGUGUACGAUGAUGUUUUUCGGAUUGUAAAAAUCUUUCAGCAGGGAAGAAAAUAAUGACGGUACCUGCAGAAGAAGCGACGGCUAAAUACGUG